CGGGGGGGGCAAGCGUUGUCCGGAAUUAUUGGGCGUAAAGAGCUCGUAGGCGGCUUGUCACGUCGGGUGUGAAAGACCGGGGCUUAACCCCGGUUCUGCAUUCGAUACGGGCUGGCUAGAGUGUGGUAGGGAGAUCGGAAUUCCUGGUGUAGCGGUGAAAUGCGCAGAUAUCAGGAGGAACACCGGUGGCGAAGGCGGAUCUCUGGGCCAUUACUGACGCUGAGGAGCGAAAGCGUGGGGGAGCGAACAGGAUUAGAUACCCUGGUAGUCCACGCCGUAAACGGUGGGAACUAGGUGUUGGCGACAUUCCACGUCGUCGGUGCCGCAGCUAACGCAUUAAGUUCCCCGCCUGGGGAGUACGGCCGCAAGGCUA
rnacentral:rRNA from 1 species